AGAGUUUGAUCCUGGCUCAGGAUGAACGCUAGCGGCAGGCCUAAUACAUGCAAGUCGAACGGUAACAUUGGUGCUUGCACCAGAUGACGAGUGGCGCACGGGUGCGUAACGCGUAUGCAAUCUACCUUUUACUAGAGUAUAGCCCAGAGAAAUUUGGAUUAAUCCUCUAUAAUAUCUUUAAGUUUCAUGACUUUUAGAUUAAAGUUUUAACGGUAAAAGAUGAGCAUGCGUCCUAUUAGUUUGUAGGUGAGGUAACGGCUCACCUAGACUACGAUAGGUAGGGGCCCUGAGAGGGGGAUCCCCCACACUGGUACUGAGACACGGACCAGACUCCUACGGGAGGCAGCAGUGAGGAAUAUUGGACAAUGGAGGAGACUCUGAUCCAGCCAUGCCGCGUGUAGGAAGAAUGCCCUAUGGGUUGUAAACUACUUUUAUACAGGAAGAAACACUGGUAUGUAUACCAGCUUGACGGUACUGUAAGAAUAAGGACCGGCUAACUCCGUGCCAGCAGCCGCGGUAAUACGGAGGGUCCGAGCGUUAUCCGGAAUCAUUGGGUUUAAAGGGUCCGCAGGCGGUCGAUUAAGUCAGAGGUGAAAUCCCAUAGCUCAACUAUGGAACUGCCUUUGAUACUGGUUGACUUGAGUCAUAUGGAAGUAGAUAGAAUGUGUAGUGUAGCGGUGAAAUGCAUAGAUAUUACACAGAAUACCGAUUGCGAAGGCAGUCUACUACGUAUGUACUGACGCUGAGGGACGAAAGCGUGGGGAGCGAACAGGAUUAGAUACCCUGGUAGUCCACGCC
rnacentral:rRNA from 1 species